rnacentral:lncRNA from 1 species
CAGCUCACUGCAAUUUAGAUGGAUGCAGGAGGGGAUGAGUACAUGUGGAAAGAGAAUAUAAAAAGAAAAAAUAGACCAAGAAAAAGCAUUGCAUUUCACGGGUUUUUCUGAUUCCAAAAGAAGACCCCAUGCUUUAUUAACCUGACGUAUCGUUUCUCUCAUUACUGAUAUUUAGUUCCUCUGGGGCAGAAGCUUUUAACAGCACUCAGCUAUACCAUGUACUAGUCUGCCCCAAACUCCCCCAAAUUUGUUGGGGCACUGACUACUUGAUAACCUUGGAGGGAAGAGUUUCACCAUUAUCAAUAAUAUCUGCAGUUUCCCUUCAAGGUUCUUUUCUCAUCGACGAACUGAUGAGGUCCAACACGAUUUUCUAAUUAUUCCAAUUUCAGGACAUUGGUGCUGCUGAUUAGGAAAUACACUGCUCCCAAACCAGUCCCCUGGAGCUGAGUGUACAAGCACAGCGUGGAGAAGGCAGGAAAAUGAACCCAUGUGGAACGCUGUGGACAGAAAAACAUUGCAAAAUUAUGAAAAUAUAGCAGUCAUUUGUACAUACAACUAUUCCAUCCUCCUGAAAGGCACAGCGAAAUGGAUCAGCCAGGACAAGUACAUGCACACAAACAGCAUAGCCAAGUUGUGACACUGUAAAGGACAAUGGCUGCCUGCCUGUAACAACAGGAUGCCUCGAAUCCCCAAAACUAUCUUUAGC